UGCAUGUCGAUUCUCAACUCUAGACCUGAUCGGAUUCUGGUCUCUAACUCUGGAUUGGUCUUAACCUGAGUGUAUUAGUAAUGUGCUACUACUGGUUUAGGAUUUGGAUGACUCGGAUGGUUCUUUGUAUUGCAGCUCCAUUGCCAUGUUCAACAGUUUGGAGGGGUUCAGUCGCUGAUUGAUGCGCUUUAGCUUCCAGGUCAUUAAAUUUAUAAGAAGCUGUCAGCCAUCAUAACACAAGAGGUUCAACUUUUUACCCUUUGAUUGUUGAUUCAUGUGCUUCAGCCUGAAGUUCCUUGUGACUUGGACACUUCAUUUAUGAUCAGCUGUGGUCUGUAGAAGUGCGGUUGAAUUUUUUUUUAUUUGGAGCUUUACUGAACAUGUGUUCGUCAUCAGAACGUCUUGUGCGCCAUGAGCAGAAGUGCAUCCCUCAAGCCUCAAGAAAGGAUUGUGUUUGGUAUUUCUAUGUUUUAUCUACGUGUGGUUUACCUCUCCACCCAUGAUAUUGUUGCCCAUUCAGGUGCUAUACCAACCUAUAUCUUGUUUUAAUGGAUGUAUUCCAUUACGAUUUACUAUUUUUUACCUUUAAUUGGAUACCACCAGUGCACUGUGAUGGUGAAAGCAUGCAAAGCCCUGUGAUGGAAGAGAUCAUGCAGUCUGUGGUUUCUUUGACAUAACAUCAGUAUGGGAACUAUGUUAUCCAGGUGGAUGCUUAUUCAUUUGCCUGCAUAUCUUGCAACAUGGAAAACUAGAAUAGUGUGCUUCUGCAAUCAGAUGACGCGUUGGACAGACCGUGAAGAUGAUCCAGCAGAAAUUCGCUUCCAACGUUGUCGAGAAGUGCCUUUCUUUUGAUUUUCUUGACGGGCGCCAAAUUUUAAUUGAUGAGAUGGUUGGCGCUACCGAUGAGAAUGAGCCAUUUUCUUCUGCCUCUACCACAGAAGUGCAUAAAUUUUCCUCCUGAUCGAUGCCGUCAUGGUCAACACCUCAACAAGUUUUCUUCAAAAUUACUGCUGAGACCUGGGAUGUUGUUGGACGCAAUUUGUUACGGCAGCUGGGACACAGACAACGGGGACCUGAUUAGCUCGUCGCUGGACCACCUCUUGUUCUGUUGGCUAUCUGUAGUCUGAAGUUUGUAUGUACAACGCUGUGUGAGUGAGUUUGGUACCCAUGCUUGGAGUGGCCAUGUCCGCCUCACGCAGCCCCAUCACUGCCUUUUUUUUUCUUCAAGGCCGGAACCUGUAGUUUGCAAUCAAAUAUGCAGAAGCUAUUGGGAUUUCACGCUAGGUGCUCUGAGACGGACUGCAACCCCAAGCACGACCUAGCCGAGUUCCUCGCCAACUCCAUCAUCUACCGCUACCUCUGCAGCAGCGAGGACCUGCUCCAGGACGUCCUUGGCGGCAUGGACGCACUCGCCGCGUUCGGAAAUCGGAUGAGAAGGGAUACCUUAACUCAAGUUGUUUCUGUCCGUCGCUGAUAUGUUCAUACUAUGCUGAACUAUGAGGAUAAUUAAAUUAGCGGAACUGAAUCGUGUUUGUACGAACUGGAGUAUUGAAGUUCAGCAUUUUAGAGGCAAAAAUAUGUGCUUCCGAGCACCAA